rnacentral:lncRNA from 1 species
AGUCUAUUAUAACCUAACUUGUCACAAAGGCAAAUAGUCUUGAUAUUAUAACAAAAUAAUUAUAUUUUAUUGCUAAUAUGGAAUUGAGGUUGUUUCUUCUUAUAGCAUUUGCAUUGAUCUUUUGUUAUUUUUGAGCUUCUUUUAGUUGUGCCUUUAUUAUUGUAUGUAGUUCAAAUAAAUGAUUUGUCAAAUCUUCUACUAUAAGAUUAUUAAUUUUUAAAAAUUCAAAAAUAUCAAGUCAUAGAUAGAAAUCAUAAUUGAUAAAAAAAAAUUAUUAAAAAGAAGAAUGUAUUAUAUUAAUAUAAGCAAAUUUUAUCAAUAAUAAAAGAAUUGUCCAAUCAUCUU